rnacentral:rRNA from 1 species
AUACGUAGGUGACAAGCGUUAUCCGGAUUUACUGGGCGUAAAGGGCGUGUAGGCGGUCUUGCAAGUCAGAAGUGAAAUUCCUGAGCUCAACUCGGGCGCUGCUUCUGAAACUGCAGGACUUGAGUGCUGGAGGGGAUAGCGGAAUUCCUAGUGGAGCGGUAAAAUGCGCAGAGAUUAGGAAGAACACCGGUGGCGAAGGCGGCUUACUGGACAGUAACUGACGCUGCGUCACGAAAGCGUGGGGAGCAAACAGGAUUGGUUACCCUGGUAGGCCACGCCGUAAACGAUGAAUACUAGGUGUAGGGGGUAUCGACUCCCUCUGUGCCGCAGGUAACACAAUAAGUAUUCCGCCUGGGGAGUACGGCCGCAAGGUUGAAACUCAAAGGAAUUGACGGGG